UCUAUUGCCUUGAUCAUUGUGGAUCAUCUCAGUUCGAUUGUUAUGCUCUUGCCAAACUGCUACGCAUGAAUAGGUCGUUCCAAGAUCAAUGGCAGGUCCAUCAUAUUUUUUGGCCAUUGUCUUUGUAGUGAUGGAAAGCUGUUCUAGAGAGGAUCUGAAUUGCUUAUAGAGAAAGAAAGGAUUUGAAUUCAGAGUUUGGAAGAGAAAGAGAUACAACAUUGAUGUAUAUUUCAGGACUACCGUUUGAACUGAAAAGGUCAAUCAAGUGUAGGAGUUCUUGUUUUGCAGGAUUUAGCUUGUGAUUUUACUCAUAUUGUCUCAAAAAUCAUCUUGCUGGUCAAAUUGGUGACAUCAUACUACUGGCAGCUUCAUGUUCAUCAAGGAAUGAUGUUAUUGUCAAGUACUAACUAUAUGAUCUCCAAAUAUCUUCAACUCUCAUUGAAUUGACUCAUAACUUUGUUCCAAUCUACAAUAUCUUGCUUACAUACCAAACGGCAACCACACCUCACUAUUUGCAAUGACUGACAGCAAUAACAUUUCAAUACAAAUUCAA